UACGUAGGGGUGCAAGCGUUAUCCGGAAUUAUUGGGCGUAAAGAGCUCGUAGGCGGUGUGUCACGUCGUUCGUGGAAAACCUGCCAGCUUAACUGUAGGGCGGUGCGGUCGAUACGGGCAUCACUGGAGUUCGGCAGGGGAGACUGGAAGUUCCUGGUGUAGCGGUGAAAUGCGCAGACGAUCGGGAGGAACACCCGUAGCGAAGGCGGCACUCUGGGCCGGUACUGGACGCUGAGGAGGCGGAAAGCGUGGGGAGCGAACAGG
rnacentral:rRNA from 1 species